rnacentral:rRNA from 1 species
GUCCACGCUGUAAACGAUGAUUACUAGGUGUGGGGGUCUGACCCCUUCCGUGCCGGAGUUAACACAAUAAGUAAUCCACCUGGGGAGUACGGCCGCAAGGUUGAAACUCAAAGGAAUUGACGGGGCCCGCACAAGCAGUGGAGUAUGUGGUUUAAUUCGAAGCAACGCGAAGAACCUUACCAGGUCUUGACAUCCAACUAACGAAGUAGAGAUACAUUAGGUGCCUUUCGGGGAAAGUUGAGACAGGUGGUGCAUGGUUGUCGU